UUGAACGCUGGCGGCAGGCCUAACACAUGCAAGUCGAGCGGCAGCGGGAAGUAGCUUGCUACUUUGCCGGCGAGCGGCGGACGGGUGAGUAACGCGUAUACAAUCUGCCUUGUACUGAGGGAUAGCCCAGAGAAAUUUGGAUUAAUACCUCAUAGUAUGUUGAGAUCGCAUGGUUUUAACAUUAAAGGUUACGGUACAAGAUGAGUAUGCGUCCUAUUAGCUAGAUGGAGUGGUAACGGCACCCCAUGGCGACGAUAGGUAGGGGGCCUGAGAGGGUUAUCCCCCACACUGGUACUGAGACACGGACCAGACUCCUACGGGAGGCAGCAGUGAGGAAUAUUGGACAACGGGCGCAAGCCUGAUCCAGCCAUGCCGCGUGCAGGAUGACUGCCCUAUGGGUUGUAAACUGCUUUUAUACAGGAAGAAUAAGCUCUACGUGUAGAGUGAUGACGGUACUGUAAGAAUAAGGAUCGGCUAACUCCGU
rnacentral:rRNA from 1 species